rnacentral:lncRNA from 1 species
GUGUGGUCACACACGCCUAUGUGGCUUGGGGCACGCCCUUGUCCUCAGCCCAUGUAAGUCUCUAUUUAUGAUGUCAUCAACACAAUUAGGGUCGCACGGCCAAGUCACACGCCUGUGUGCUUAGGCCGUAUGGUAAGUUAAAUUCCAUAAUUAAGUGCAGACUUCACACGGCCUGGACACACGCUCAUGUCCUGCGAUUGUGUCUUACACACAGCUGAGACACAUGUUCGUGUCUCUGCCUCUGUGUUUACUACAGAGCAUUCUGUUUUACCUAAUUAGGGUGCAGAGGACACACGGUCAG